AUGGCCUCAGUCACUUGUUCUAAUUGCAGCAAAGUUGGCCAUAGGUACACCAACUGCCAUGUUGCUUUGAAGCCUGCACUAGCCAUGAGAAAGAAUAGGCAUGCGCCAAGCACCUCUUCUUAUCCACCUGAUGCUGCUACUGCACCAGCACCAGCAAGAAGGGCUGCAUCUACUGCCACUGCACCAGCACCACCAAGAAGGGCUGCAUCUACUGCCACUGCACCAGCACCAGCAAGAAGGGCUGCAUCUACUGCCACUACACCAGCACCAGCAAGAAGGGCUGCAUCUACUGCCACUGCACCAGCACCAGCAAGAAGAACUCCAUCUUCUGCCACUGCACCAUCAACAAGAUCUGCUACUGCUGCAAAGGGUAAGGCUACAGCCACUAGGGCUUUAACUGCUGCAAAGGGUAAGGCUAUAGCCACUAGGGCUUCAACUGCUGCAAAGGGAGCAAGGGCAGCUUUCUUGCCUCCAAGACCAAACAGUGGUUCCCAGAGAGUCAGAAAGCCAACCCAAAAGAUCAAGGACUACCUGACUGCUUCUGGUGCAGCAUGGGAUUGA
rnacentral:rRNA from 1 species